rnacentral:antisense_RNA from 2 species
CACACAUAGGUUCCUCCUUAGAAGGUUUCUAUGGAUAGUUGGUGUAGAGAGGGUUCGACUCUCUACACCAAUGAUUCU